rnacentral:piRNA from 1 species
UUAUUAAUUUUAUUCAAAGUU